GUAGGGAAUCUUCCACAAUGGACGAAAGUCUGAUGGAGCAACGCCGCGUGAGUGAAGAAGGGUUUCGGCUCGUAAAGCUCUGUUGGUAGUGAAGAAAGAUAGAGGUAGUAACUGGCCUUUAUUUGACGGUAAUUACUUAGAAAGUCACGGCUAACUACGUGCCAGCAGCCGCGGUAAUACGUAGGUGGCAAGCGUUGUCCGGAUUUAUUGGGCGUAAAGCGAGUGCAGGCGGUUCAAUAAGUCUGAUGUGAAAGCCUUCGGCUCAACCGGAGAAUUGCAUCAGAAACUGUUGAACUUGAGUGCAGAAGAGGAGAGUGGAACUCCAUGUGUAGCGGUGGAAUGCGUAGAUAUAUGGAAGAACACCAGUGGCGAAGGCGGCUCUCUGGUCUGCAACUGACGCUGAGGCUCGAAAGCAUGGGUAGCGAACAGGAUUAGAAACCCUAGUAGUCC
rnacentral:rRNA from 1 species